ensembl:ncRNA lncRNA:alphagamma-element:CR32865 alphagamma-element:CR32865
AAGCUUUUUUCUCUUAUUGUGUUAUCCUCUUUAGCGUGUAAUUUGGCUGCCUGCGUGCAGUAACAUUGUACUCUAGAUCAGUCACAAUAAAUACUUGAAACGAAUAGUUUAAAUGUAAAUACUGCGCUCAGAAAGUUAUAUAGAAAGUCCAUAUCCAUAUCCUUCGAAAAAAUGAGUUAUUAAGUUUAAUUACAUUACAUAGCUUUCAUAAAAGCCUCGGCUUUUGCAUAUGUUUUGCAUGCAUAUGUAAUACAUAAUAUAUAUGUACAUACAUAUAUCAUAUUCAUAAUAUAUAUAAUUUUAAAUUAAAAAAGCAAGCAAUCAUCAUGCAAUUGUCUGUAUAAAUCUAAUAAAAAUUUGGCUUUUUAAAGUUAAUAUAUACAUACAUUCUAAAGAGUAUAUUGUCAAUGUUACAUAGGCCUUUCUGACGGACAACAACCGCAUAACAAAGCGCUUCGAUUAUCUUUAACAUAAGUUAUUUAAGCAGCCGUAUUUAUAAAGAAAUUUCCAAAAUAAAGCGAAUAUUCUAGAAUCCCAAAACAAACUGGUUAUUGUGGUAGGUCAUUUGUUUGGCAGAAAGAAAACUCGAGAAAUUUCUCUGGCCGUUAUUCGUUAUUCUCUAUUUUCUUUUUGGGUCUCUCCCUCUCUGCACUAAUGCUCUCUCACUCUGUCACACAGUAAACGACAUACCGCUCUCGUUGGUUCGAGAGAGCGCGCCUUGAAUGUUCGCGAAAAGAGCGCAGCAGUAUAAAUAGAGGCGCUUCGUCUACGGAGCGACAAUUCAAUUCAAACAAGCAAAGUGAACACGUCGCUAAGCGAAAGCUAAGCAAAUAAACAAGCGCAGAAGGAGUGUUAAAAAUAUGUAUGUAAUAUGUAUGUAUAUGUCGCAGAUCAUUUAAAUGAAACGAAAUUUCGUGUUUCUGCUUGGCACGCGCCUCUUUUUAUUUUUCUGAUGCGCGGCAGACAACCGUUAGAGUUUAGUGGAGAGCGGGGGGAAGUAGAUAGCGGGGGGAAGUAGAUGUCUGUACGAAAGCGAGAAGCAUACAGAAAAAUGCGGUGUGCAUAAGUAUUGGUGUAUGCGGACUAGAACAACUGUCAUAAUUGUGUUGGUAUUGCAAGUAAAGUCAAGAACUACGCAUAAUUCUGAUUUUGUGAAGAAGAGAUCAGUCAGUCAGUUUUCGAUCGUUACGCAUAACAGACAUGCCUCGCUCAAGCGCCAGAAAACGUCGCGCGAACCAUAACGAGAGUAGUGAAGAGGAAGAAGGGCAUCCUGAUGACUCUUCGACAUAUAUAUAAUAAUAUGUAAUAAAGUCAAUGCACUGUGUCUCCCUCUUUUGGUCGCGGUAACCAAAAGCUU